GACGUAGGGGGCAAGCGUUGUUCGGAUUCAUUGGGCGUAAAGGGUGCGUAGGUGGCGCGCUAAGUCGGGUGUGAAAUUUCGGAGCUUAACUCCGAAACUGCAUUCGAUACUGGCGUGCUUGAGGACUGGAGAGGAGACUGGAAUUCAUGGUGUAGCAGUGAAAUGCGUAGAGAUCAUGAGGAAGACCAGUGGCGAAGGCGGGUCUCUGGACAGUUCCUGACACUGAGGCACGAAGGCCAGGGGAGCAAACGGG
rnacentral:rRNA from 1 species